rnacentral:rRNA from 1 species
UACGUAGGGUGCAAGCGUUGUCCGGAAUUAUUGGGCGUAAAGAGCUUGUAGGCGGUUUGUCGCGUCUGCUGUGAAAUUUCGGGGCUCAACCCCGAACUUGCAGUGGGUACGGGCAGACUAGAGUGUGGUAGGGGAGACUGGAAUUCCUGGUGUAGCGGUGAAAUGCGCAGAUAUCAGGAGGAACACCGAUGGCGAAGGCAGGUCUCUGGGCAGUAACCGACGCUGAGGAGCGAAAGCGUGGGGAGCGAACAGG